rnacentral:tRNA from 1 species
GAGGGUAUAGCUCACCGGUAGAGCACGUGCUUAGCAUGCAGGAGGUCCUGAGUUCAAUCCCCAGUACCUCCA